rnacentral:lncRNA from 1 species
CAAGCAAUUCUCCUGCCUCAGCCUCCCAAGUAGCUGGGAACACAGCAUAACCCAGCUCAUCCUGACUGAUGCCACCAUUUCCAGAUAAGAGAAAUGCGACUGAGAAAGAUUAAGAUAUUUUCUUAAGAUUGGACAUUAUGUUCCUACCCACUGUGCUUGCCUUAUAGUUGAAAGAGAGUUUAUUUAAGCACAGAGAUCAAGCAAGAGUGGAGCACAGGACACACUUUCAGGUUGCCUUGGGGACUGCUCUGUAGAACAAAAAAUCAAACUCAAGAUUUUAAGGAAAACAAGUACAAGUGAAGAGAAGGCAUGAUUACCAAAGUUGUUGAUCUAAUUCUCAUUGAUUUACAGAAAUAACAGUGGCUAACGAUCAGCUAUACAUUGUUGAAUUAUAGGAUGUAUGGCAUUUAAAAAUGUAUUUAUUUAAAACUAAUUUUUUUUAGAUUUUUGAUGGAUUUAGGGGUACAGGUGCAGUUGUGUUACAUGGAUAUAUUUUGUAGAGAUGAAAUCUGGGCUUUUAUGUACAACUACCCAAAUAAGAUACAUUGUACCCAAUAGGCAGCAUUUCACUUUCACCCUCAUUCUAUCCUCCCACUGUUUGGAGCCUCCAAUGUCUAUCAUUCCACUCAGUAAGUCCAUGUCCAUGGUUUAGCACCCAUGUAUAAGUGGGAACAUGCAGUUCUUGAUUUUCUGUUUCUGAGUCAUUUCACUAAGGGUAAUGGCCUCCAGUUCCAUACACAUUGCUGCAAAAGUCAUAAUUUCAUUCACUUUUAUGGCUGAAUAGUAUUCCAUGGUGUAUAUCUACCAGAUUGUUUUAUUCAAUGAAGUGUUGAUGGACACUUAGGUUGAUUUCACAACUUUGCUAUUCUGAACUGUGCUACAAUAAACAUACAAAUGCAGAAGGC